UCCCUGGUAGUGUAUCGGCUAGUACACGCGCCUGUCACUUUAUUCAAGUGCGCGCGAAAGCGGGGUUCGACUCCCCGCCAGGGAG
rnacentral:tRNA from 1 species